CACAUCAUUACGAGAGAAACUGCUGUGUUUAGGACCUGGAGGACGCGGCGUCACUGCAGGGAGCUUCUGCGAUCAGCGCACGGACAGACAGACAGACAGACAGACAGACAGACAGACAGACUGUUUACCAGCUCGCAGCUCAAAACAAGAGCACGACUGCGCAUCGACAAAUGAAAAUGUUUCAACUGCUGUACUUUGUGUUUCUGCUGAGCUCUGGUUUGGUGGACUGUUGGUCUGUUGUUGAAGAGUGUGUAACAUCUAAUGGAGAGGACUAUAGGGGAAUUCAACAGAAGACAUCCACAGGGAAUAUCUGCCUCAACUGGAAGAGU